rnacentral:lncRNA from 1 species
GCAUAUGGAGGUUCCCAGGCUAGGAGUCCAAUUGGAGCUGUAGCCGCCGGCCUACGCCAUGGCCACAACAAUGUGGGAUCCAAGCCGUGGGUGUGACCUGCACCACAGCUCACGGCAACGCCAGAUCCUUAACCCCCUGAGCAAGGCCAGGGAUCGAACCUGCAACCUCAUGGUUCCUAGUCAGAUUCGUUAACCACUGCGCCACGAUGGGAACUCCAACAAUGUGAGAUCUUUAAGUGCUAACCCAACAGGGAACUUGUAGACAAAUUUGUUUUAACAAUUGAUAUUCUUUUGAAAAUCACAGCAAGAACAAACAUAAUUUUGAGGACUUAGAAGUGAAUUGUUUUUAGUGUGACAAAAAUAUCUGGAGUAACGAACAUUUUAGGCAAUUGUUUUUGUACAUAAUGCUAUAUGAAAUAGUUUAAAGCAAACAUAUGAAUUUACUUAAAUUUCAUAUAUCACUGUUCCUGAAUGCAAAAUAGUUUUCAGGUGCACAAAGGAGGACACUACUGGCUGAAAAGGGGUCAUUUCUAACAAUUUGUACCAACUGAAUUAUUUCACAGAUCGCCCCAACAAAGAGUGUCUUUAUAUUUUCUUGGGAGUGUUCAUUAGAGGUAAAAACCAGAGAUUAAGGUUGGGGGAAGGGAAGAGGAAGGUGCAAGAGUGAGAAUUAAGUCAAACCUUUCUUGAGCUUAGUACUGCAUGAACAUGUUUCCUCUAUGUAUUUUCAGGCUAUGAAUUUUAAAAACAAUUAAUUUAUUAUUAGGCUUGCACUACAGCAGGCUAUGACACAGAUAAAAUCUUUUUCUUUGACUUAAGUUUUCAACUAACAAAUACUGUUUUCUUCUAAGGCCAUUUGUUUGCUGCACCCAUGGUCCUCUAAUUUAACCAGUUGUACUACUCAGAAGAAUUUUUGCUUCCUUUUGGUUUAUGGUUUAGAGGAUGUUGUGGAGAUCAAGCUGAAAAAUUAAUUUCAGAUUGGUCCCAGAGGGUUUGCUUUAAGUGGUUCUGUUAAUUCACUUUGAGAGAAACCCUAUUAAAGUUGAUAAAAAUGGCAAAGACCCAUGAGCCCAUUUCUAUUCUAGAUUUUGUUUGAAACAGGCCUCAUCCUUCUAAUUAGUUGUUAGAACCCACUUUAAUUUUAUUAAUAAUAAUUAACAUUUACGGUACUUCAGUUUACAAAGCACUUUCUCAUUAUCAAUUAGGUUUUUAAAUCAUUGUCACAAUCUAAUGAAGUAGUGUAUUAGUUUCCUACUCCUGCUGUAACAAAUUACAACCCAUCUAAUGACUUCAAAGCACAUGAAUUUAUUAUAUUACAAUUAGUCCAAAACAGGUCUCACUGGGUUAAAAUCAAGGUGUUGGCAAGGUUUUAUUUUUCCUUGGGGCUCUAAAGAAGAAUCAUUAUUUCCUCACCUUUUCUACCUUCUGGAAGUGGCCUGUGUUCCUUGGCUCAUGGCCCCUUUCAUCUUCAAAGUCAAAAAGCAGCACACAGUCAAAAAUCUUUAUUCUACUGCAUCAUUCUGAUUCUCUGUCAUCAUCUCACCUGCCUACCUCCUUACACUAAGGAUCCUGGUAAUCACAUUUCCCACCCCUACCCCCCAGCUAAUGCAGGAUAAUCUUCCUCACCUCCAGGUUCUUAAUUUAGUCCACCUGCAAAGGCUCCACUGCCAUGUGAGUUGGCACAUUUCACAGUUUCUGGGGACAUCUCUGGGGGACCAUAAUUCUGCCUAGCACAAGUAGCAAUAUUUUCAAUGUUUUUAUCAUUAGUGCUAGUGAGAAUAAGAGCAGAAUUAUUUUAAGAUGAGGAAAGCAAGACCAAAGGAGGCCUAGUUAUUAAUCAUAACCCAUCUAUUAAUGUGAGGCAAAACUGUAAUGGAAAAUUGAUAUUCAGAGGUUAAUCUACUUGUUCAACUCCAUCAUGACACAUUAGUUCAAAACAAAAGUUCCCAUAAUGCAUUUUUAUUAAACUUGGUAUGAUAUGUUCAGCAAUAUUUUUAGACCAUAUUCCAAAACUUGAUUUUGGAUUAUGGUCUAAAAAUAUCACUGUUAAUAAUAUCUAUCAAGCUUUUGAGCUAACAAUUAUUUAACAGUAAGGAGGUGAGGAUAAAAUCUAAUGAUGACCACUUUGAUCAAGUACCUACCCACAGAUCCCCUUAAAGAAUGAAAAUAUAUUUUCAAGUUCCUAUAGCAUGAUAGAAAUUUAGCAUUUUCUCAUUAUCUGAUCUAAUCACAUAGAUCAUUAAGGAAAGCAAAUCAAAUCAUCCAUAGUCCACCUAAAACAGAAAAAGGAAUCCAAGAAUCUUCUCGGUGGAACUUGGAGGACAGAGGGAAUCAUCAUAAAGAUGGGGAAACAUUACAGCUCCUAUAGCUACUGCCUUGAACAACAAGUCCUGUGUCUCUGACCCAAGAGAUUCAUGUCUUCUGUCAACAUCCACAAAACCAGCAGACUAUUUUGUUCUCUUCUAAGGAUUAAAACCUUGGACAUUUUGCUAUAUCUGGCAUUUUGAAAGAACAAGAUAGAAUUAUAAUUUGGGAGUAAAUCUAAAUAAGCAUUAAUUGUAAAUAAUAAUAACACUCAUAAUAAGGACUAUCUUAUAAAAAGUAUUUAAAAACAAGGGAGGGUGUUCCCUUUGUGGCGCAGCAGUUAAGGAACCCAACUAGGAUCCAUGAGGAUGUGGGUUUGAUCCCUGGCUUCCCUCAGUGGGUUAAGGAUCCAGCAUUGCCAUGAGCUGUGGUGUAGCUUGCAGACAUGGUUCGGAUCCUGAAUUGCUGUGUCUGUGGUGUAGGCUGGUGGCUAUAGCUCCAAUUCGACUGCUAGCCUGGAAACUUCCAUAUGCCGCAGGUGCUACCCUAAAAGGCAAAAUAAAUAAAUAAAUAAAUAAAUAAAUAAAUAAAAAUAAGGGAGAGUAGAUAAUACUUGUAAUUACCCAAAACAGAUGAAGGUAGUUUGGAGGUGAAGUGUCCUAACAUCAUUGCAUAGAUCAAAAUUUGAAUUAACUUAAUACUUUGUUAGGCAUGUAUAUUAAAGAUUUAAGAAAUCCACUACAAGAAAUUAAAUAGAAUAUCAUCUAGGUCUACAAGGAAAAACAUAAAACUUUUCAGUUUUCCCACAGCAAGCAGAAAUUAAUAUUAAAAAAAGAAGCCCCCAAAAUGGUAAAUAGAAAACACAAAAUAAAAUUGCAGAAGAAAGAUCAGAUUAGCAGUAAUCACAAUAAAUAUAAAGGAUAAAACCUGCUUGUUCAAAGACAGGGAUUUUCACACUAGAUUUUUAAAAAUCCCGUCUACUGUUUCAAGAACUAUAAUGACACAUACACCAAAAAAUGGAAAUAAGAAGGUGGAAAAAGAUUAAUAGGAAGUUCUUAACCAAUAAAGCUUGCAUUGUAAUUUCAUAUCAGACAUUAAAAAUUUAAUAAAUAUAUCUAUAAAUAUCCAGCAUUCAAAUAAACUCCCUGAAUUAAGGUUCCACAUUUCUAUGCACUGUUUUAAGACUGUUAAUCACAAAUACAGAUGUCAAAUUGUUAAUGCAGCUAAUGAGGUAUUAACCUAACCCAGGUCCUUGAAUGGAACAAUAUGUUAUUAACAAGUGUUUCCUAGUUAUUAGAAAAUGCCCCAAAAUGACUUCUCUAUUCAGAAAAAUAAUCACUAUGACCAUUUUCAAGAUCUGAGUCUUUAUUCUGGGAAGAUUCUGAGUAAUGCUUUGAUCAAAUGGUACUCCCUUACAUUUCUUGUAAAAGAUAAAAGAUUGAUAGGUAGAUAGAUAGAUAAAUGAAAUUUGUAAAUACAUCCUUAAUAGGCUAAACAAUGACUCCAUUCACCCAAAUAUUCCCUUGUUUUACUUUAUUCUACAUAGGCCUUUUUGAAUAAUCUCUAACUCUAGUACUGCCCUCACAGCACUGAAUUAACUAGGAUUUAUUCCAUUUCUUUUAGAGUGAAUCACUGUUCUAGCUCAGAGGGAGAACUCCUGAAGCACAUCAAUCAGCAGGAUGUAAGUCACACUGUCAAAUACCUGGGGGAGGCCUCGACUCCCCAGCUGGACAGAUUCAUUUCAAAGGUUGUGUGUGAGGAGUCCCCUGACAAGCAGCAGCAGCUUCACCUGGGACACCGUCAGAAACGCAAAUUCCUGGGCCUUGUCCCACAUCUUCUGAAGCAGCAAGUGUGGGAGUGGGACCCAGCAGGCAGUGUUUUAAAGUGCCUUAAGGUCAGUUUCAUUACUUACAGAUUCUUUGAUUCUCUGAACAAGUUCAAGAUUGGCUCCCCAGAUCCAGUGACAAAAUAUCCAAGUAAAAGAGAUCACAUGGCAGAAAGCAAUCCUGGAUUUUCUGGGCUUUAUUUCCUUUAUUCAAAUGCCUGUGAGACUAAGAUUAAUAUUGCACCAGAACCUUUAUAAGUCCUAGGAAAUGCUGAAGAUAAUUUCCAUUUUCCUAACGUGAUUAGCCCAUUUACAACAUGUUAUUCUCAACCAGUGUAGUCACGUUAGAAUGUUUCCACCCUGACUCACUUGUAACACAGAACAAGAAAAAUAAAUAGGCUUUCGAAAUGGCAAAUUCCCUAUUUUAUAUGAUCAGUAUGAUGAGACCUACCAAAUGGGAAGAAAAUAACUUAAUAUUCAUUUAUUUAUUUCCAAGUCCAGGAUUUAAAAAAAAAAAAGGUUUUCUGUAGCUCCAUGGGUGAAAAAGAAUGGCUGAGCUGACAUUUUAAAGUACAAAUGAAGUUCAUAUAUUUGCUGUAUAUGGCAUUUGGAAGUGAUGCCAAGAAGUUGGUUUGGGAUUCAUGUCACUUUGAGAUUUGACAAAUACAAGUGUCAAACAUAAACACGCAAGCAUUGAGCCACAAAGUUAAACCUAAACAAUUAAUGUUCUAAAUGAGGACAUAAAUUUACCAAAGCAACCCAGAGAAACCGUCACUCACCUUCUUAAUCUUUAAGAUGAUAGAAGAGACUUCAGGCAAGGAUUCAAAAAAAGUUUUAGCGAUGGUCAUUGAUUCCUUGGUAAAAACGGCAAAAUCGGUAUUUUGGUUGAAUGUAGCCAUUCAUUAAUACAUCAAUUCAGGCCAGAGAAAGAAAUAGGAGCCAGAUUUUUUGAAACAUCAAGUACUCUUUCAUGUUCUGAGAUAUUUCAGCUGAAUAGAAACCGUUAAUACUUGCAAAUUUAGCAUAACCUUUCAUCUAUGUUAUAUUAUCUCUAGUUCUUGUUGAAAAGGUUUGAUUGUCCAAAAGAAAGUUAGCUGAGAUGGUGAAAAUCUGUAAGGAAUUACUGAAGAAAUGACUUUUUUUUAGAAUGGAAAAGAUAAAGGUUAGAAGAUGUUUCUACUUCUAUAGAACAUAGAUUUUGUUCUAUAUGUUUAGCUCAAUGAGAUGAAAUUAAAAAAAUACUAGCGGAAACUGAUUAAAGACACGUUAAUUGUUUUCUAGUCAUCUGAGGUAUCCUAAUUUAUAGUCAACUACUUCAUGAAGUGGUAAUUUGGUAAAUAACUGCUUCCUGCUUCAUGAAGUCCAAACAGAGGAUGGGUGAUGGUGUUCACAGAAUUUCUGUGUUACAUGAAAACGAAAAAUGGAAGACUAUAUUACAAUGCAUAACAGCAGGGAUCUAUGACCUUGGAUAAACUGCCUACCUAGUCUGUCCUUUAACAUUCUUAUCUAUAAAUUGGAAGAGAAACAGCUACAUCUCAGGGUUCUUCUUAGGUUUAAAUAAAGUCAGGAAAAGGCUUAUUACUGGGCCUAACACACAGUAAGUGCUUAAUAUAAAGUGUACAUAAAACUAACACUAUGGUAGUAACAAAUCUAAUAAUGAACAUCAUAACAACCUAAUCACUCCCCAAUAAAAAAAAUCUUUUUGAUAUACCUCUUCUUACUGUAAGUAGGAUUCUAGUUUUCCUACAUAGUCUAUUUGGCAGUAAAUACUGGCAUUUGGGUACCUCAGUGCAUUCGUAAGUCAUUCCACCAAAUUGAUCAAGCCUCUAAGACACCAUCGGCCUUGUGUCUCUGGUAUAUUACUGUCCUCUAUUACUUGCUCCCCUCUUCAUUCUAAAAGUAUACUACAUCCCCAUCUGUUGCCAUGGGAUUGCUGGGCCAUGAAAACUUCUGCAUUCUCUUAGAAGGCGUGGCCAUGUGACUUGCUUUGGCCAAAGGCAUAGGAGAUGACAGAGCCACAUGCAAGCAGAGCUUUGAAGACACAUGGGUUGUUUCUAGAACCCCUAUUGUUCUUUGCCUUUAUCAUAAUAAAUGUUGAAAGAAUACAUAUUAUGGAGCUGAAGUGUAGACAGAAAACAUAAAAGGGUGUCCCUUUUACGUGCAUCUCAGAAUGUUAGGGCGUGUGAGGCAGAGUUGUAGCUACUGAUUCACUAGCUGCCAAAACCUAAUGAGAGCGAGAGCAAGAAAUAAAUGUUUGUUAUUGUAAGUUAAUGGGAUUUCAUGGUUGUUACUCCUGAAGCAAAUCUUAAAAACACAGAAAUCUGAACCAGAAUAAAAAAGUUGGUACCAGAAGUAGAGUGGUGACUAAACAAUACAUAAAAGAUGAGACACUGGCCUUAGAACCAGGUGGUAGCCGGUAAGGAAAGUAUUAUUUGAGGAUGAGAAAAGUGAGCAAUAUUGAUUUAAAAUGUCUUCUGUGACAGCAUAAAAGUCAGCUAAUGUACCUACUGAACUUGCAGCUUUAGGCAAAGAGACCGCAAGGCAAAGAUUUUGCUAAGGUGCCUGGGCUCUUAUUACCAGGUAUUACAAGAGAAAAAGCAUCUCAAUAGACUUGGUGGUAUGAAACAGAGAGAAUCCAGAAACUCCAGUUGAGGCAGAGUUGAAAGAUGCGGUUAUUCUUUUUUUUCAUCUACAACCAAUGAAAGAAAAUACUGGGAAAUGCUUGAGCAACAAAACUGAGACCAGCUAUCAAGGCAACAAGACAAAGUGAAGACCAAAUCUUGAGUAUGAUCAUCACCCCCCUAGCUAAACACUAUAAAUGGUUUAAGACUGUUCACAGAAAACGUUUUAGUUAGGAAAAAACCUACUCAAAACACAGAGAAUGUGUGUGUCGUUCUCCCAGGGAGCCAGUAAACUCAAAAUAAACCUGCAGAGAGGUGCAUCUUGAAACGAAUUAUGGGUAUAGCUACUAACAAACGGAGCUGUUUAGAAGGCAAUUCAAGUUUUGCAAAGGCGGCACCAAGAACGAUUAAGAAAGACUACAACAACUCAGAACUUAAAACAAGUUUGGGGGCCCCAAAUUUCUCCCAUGCAUGAGGUAUUAGGCUGAUAAAUCUGCUCAGUACCCAAGAAGGAAAUUCUCCAAUGCUCCCUUCAGGUGUUACCAAAGAAGGUGGGGGGACAAAGAAGUACAUCCUGGAAGAUGAAGCCAAGAACUACACAGAACCAUGAACUGAGAGCACUUGGACAAAAGAACUGGGGGUCCAUCAAGGAAUCUUUUGCUACGGCACCAAAGCUAAUAAUUGAAUCUACUUAUUGGAAAAUCAGAAUACAGCUAUAAAAUGAAAUAACUAUUUAAGUAUACUGAAAGAGUGAUUUCUUUUCAGAAAAUAAAGCACAAGAUUUGAUAUAGCCUCAAAACCUUAAAAAUUAAAAUCAGACUAAAGUAAGUUUGCCAUUGUCCUUGAUUUACAGAUAUUAAAAAUUUCAUGUGUAAACAGUAUAUAAUCAAAUUUUAUUUUUUUUAUCCUAGUCUGACACUGUUUUAUCAUUGGAGAAUUUAAUCCUUUUCCUUUAAUUACUAGUAUGUUGGUUUAAAUCUACCAUUCUGUCAUUUGUUUAUAUUUGUCUAUUAUUUGUUCCAUUAUUUAACCUUCUUGCCUUCUUUUGGAUUAAUCAAGGAUUUUUAUUUUUUAAUAUUAUUUUAGUAUUCACUUUUUUGUGAUUUAUUUUUCUAUAUCUCUGUUUCCUCCUAGGAUCAUCAUCCUACUUUAUAAAGAAUUCGGAAUUCUUGUGGUUCAUUUGUGAUGGUGAAAAUUUCCAACUUUUCAUUUGUGUAGAAGUAUUUUCACUUUCCUCUCACAUAUGAAGAGUAUUUUCACUGAGUACUGAAUUCUAGUUUGGCAGAUAAUCUAUUUCUCUGGUGUGCCUGGUUAUUUUUUAUUUUAUGUCAGGCAUUGUAUUCAAAAAGUCAGAGGCAUAAUUUCAGGCUCUAGAUGAUAUUUUCCUGGGUUUGAAUUUAAUUUUUCUUCUGGCUAUCAGUUAAGUGAGAAGCAGAUUACUUUUCACUUGACUUGGUAUUUUGCUGAUAUGAAUCUGAGUUUAAGUGGAUAUAUGUUCUGAGUUAAGACUAUCUAUUUUCUUUUCACUUCUUUUCCUAGAAUGCAACUUUUUUUAGGUCCCAAACAAAAACCUGCAUUCUCUCUUAGGGCCUGAACUUCCGUUUUAGUCUCCUCAGCCUUGUAAGUCUACUAGUUCUGCACAACUUGUCAAAUUUCAGCUGCUACUUAAAAAUUAACAUGAUCUUUUUAUAGGAAAAGCAGCGCCAGAUAUGGGAUUUACCCCUGUAUGUCUCUCUCAUCAGUAGUAUCUUGGGCUACGUGCUGGUUCUGAAAAAAUGAAAAAGAUCCAAUUUCUUCUUUCUCUCCACUUUUAAAUCAGGUUGAGGGGCUGGAAUGUAAAAAGUUUGUCAUACUAAAGAUGUGAAAUGCAUCAUGUGGAAAUGAAAGGGGAUUUAUGGCAAGUUAUUGAUGAAUUCCUUAAAAAGGCAAGAGUAUAAAGUUUUACCUAGAAAUAAAAUAAAUAUUUGCUCUAUUUACCUAAGGUAAUAAUUUCAGUUUAUGCCUGUGGUUCUGCAAUAAUAAGUACCUACUUUUACU